UAGUAAAAAUAGCGAUUUUCUGACGUCAAUAUCUCAAGACCUACAAUAGGUACAUUAAUGAAAUUUUGUAUUUUAGAUAAGUAAGUAGAUCUCGACAGAUACUAGAAAUUUCAUAUGCGUAGAUAAAAUAGAUUUUGAGUUAUAGGUGGGUCGAACUUGGCCCGAAAUGGUUCGUGUAAUAUAACCCACGGCCGGUGUGUCGGUUUUUUGCUCGAACUUGGCGGACACACUGCCGUGUGUCUAGAC